rnacentral:lncRNA from 1 species
GUGAGUACUUCUUAUUACUAUUGCUAUGAUUAUUAGUUUUAUUUUCAAAAGAGGAAACUGAGAUUUUGCCAGAUUAAGAGAUUUCUCUACAAGCUACUAGCCAUGAAAGGGAAAAUCCAGAAUUCAAGUUGAGAUUUCUGGAACCAAAGAGGAAACUGAACGUAAGAGGGAAGGAAGAAAUCAAGGAAACUGAAGUCCCCCUGUGGGAGAGGGGGCCCCGGACUGCGAGAGCCGGAAGUGGAGGAAAGCCCGCUGGGCGGCUCCCGCUCCCUCGCUUUUGUUCUCGGAGAGGCCCAGGAUGUUGACCGCCAACUUCCCUCAUCUGAUGAGUGAAGUGUAAUAAAUGUGUGCUUUUCUGUUUUGUGCAAAUGUGAGGUCAUUUCCAAAAUUAGCCUGUCCAACUGCUGAAAUCCCCGAGUUCCCAAACUCUCAGCAGGAAACAGGCCGUGGACGUCCAGAUGUUUCUCCUCACAGUGUUCGUCAGCAGCGAAUGUGGAACACCCUUUCUGUCCUGCCAUACCCUGGGUGCUGGGAUACAACGACAAGAGAAGAACAAGCAUCAGAACAUGUGUGUGCAACCAAAGACCAUCGCAGCCCCAGACCAUCUGCGCAAGAAGAGCCUGGGCAAGUGCUGGUUGAAGAGGGACGUCUUGAAGGCACGUUUGCACAAAUCACUCUUAAUUGGAUGAAAAAGUGUGCCGAUCCCUGGAGCAGGUCUUCCAAAGCACAGAAGACAACGAUCUUUAAGACAAGAGCGCUGCCUCCUUCCUUUGCAGACCACCACCUCAUCACUUCAAUUUCCUCUAAAGAAAACAAACUGUUUUUCUCAUAUUUCAUGGCUUUGAGGUUUAUUCCAAGCCUUGCCAGUGGCCUCAGGCUCCUCGUUGCCUUAUUUGAAACAAGAGAUAUAGAGCAGCCGAGACAGAUGACGAUGUGGAGAGGGAAGGAGGCGAGACGGGGCCCACGCUCAGACUCCCUAAAUCCACGAGGGAAACUUCCUUCUGUUGGCACCAGUUCAAAACGAUGCGAUGUGGCCUUUUCUAAAGCUUCGCACUAUUUUUAUUGCAGUAAAAUGUUUAUUGUGUUUACAGAGAGAAUUGUUGUCUUAAAACUGAUGUUUACUAUGGUAGGGUUUGACCUGUGCUUGGUGAAGCUAUGUUUUAAAAUAAUACACUCAAGUUUAUGAAGGAAACCUCAACUCUUCCCAAAGAGAGAAACUGAAGGGUUUUUUUGCUGAAAUAAGUAUUUCAUUAGGUUAGAAAAAUUGAUAUAUUUUUGUUAUUUAAUGACUUCAUCACGCUCUGUGAAAUGCAUCACUCCAUUUUAUCUGCUCUUUGUCUGGAAUCACCACAUGCUACUAACUGGCUCCUCUUUAUUCUUUGCUACACUACAGAAAUUCUUUAUCAUUUAACUUUAUCACAGGCAGGCAGAGCCUGGUUCCUAUUAGAGAGAUAAGGACUGUUUCCUUAAUUACUGUACAUAGAAAACAGCAUUUAGUCUGGCAGUUCCCACACUAUUCAAUCAGGCAAGAUUCGAUAUGAAAAAAUACAGCUGAUUUGCCAAAUCAGACAUUUGUUCCACACAAGUCCGUUAUAACUCACGUUAUAAAUGAAACAAGUCAUGGAGGCACUUAUCAGUACUUAUCAGUACGCGCCUGCGAUCACAUUCUGUUUUUCGAAGUUGACGCUCUCAGGAGCGCUUCUUGCUGGAAGUUCUCUCUGACAAUUAUGGAGGGAUCCCCACGCCGGCGUCCACCUGACCGAAGAGAACAAGACAGCCGCGUGGGCCAUUUCAGAAAUCACCACUUUCUAGCUAAUCGCAGUUUCCAAAUUCAACCUACUGGUGCUGCCGAGAGCGAGAAGAACUUCCCUAAUCGGAUCCUGGCCGCAUUGUGACUCACACUGCUGACUGCCCCCCACCCCCCACCCGGUGCCUCCACUCUCCCUCGUGGGGCCGGCACAGCACCUGCCCAAGGACCUCUCCCUGCGUCCUGGGGAUGUGUUGGCAGCACCGUGAUCGAUGAGUUAUUGAGGCCCUUGCUUUUUACCAAAAGAACUUUUUGUGGAAGGCAAAAUUUUUUCCAGGGGAGAAAUGCAGAUGCAGCAUUAUGCAAUUUUGUUAACGAGUUAGGAGGAUGGUGUAAUGCAAAUGGUGGAUAAAACGAGCAAACCGGGGAAAGAGAGCAAGCCGACGACUGGAAUUAAGGGGUAGUAAGUCGAAGAAAGCUCCGAACCGCUGGUGCACUGGAGGGACAGUGAUCAAGGGGACCCUGGGAGCAGUAUUCCUACUCCACUGAAGGGGGGAGCUGAGAUACUUGUAAGCUCUAGAGAACCUCUAACACAGGAAGCUAUUUAUCAUAACAAGCCUGGUUGAUACCGCUCCCAUACUGAACCAAUUAGGUUCGCCCGUUUCGUCAUACUUCAUAACUCGCGGUGAUAGGUCUCUGAGUAUGGUACAGUGUAGUAAUUGAAUUUUGAUCAAACACACAUGGCCCAUAACCCAGUAUGUGAAAUUUUCAGAACAGUUCACAGCUUUUAAAUAUCCAGUCAACAUGUUGCCAAAAGUACAGGAUGUACUUGAUGGAAGGGGGAGAGCGAGGGGAGGGCUGAAUCUUGGUAGAGCUGUAAAACAAAUAUUUUUGUUCUUGUUCUCUUCUUAUUUUUCAAAUAGCAGUGGAGAAAGGCCAUGGGAUAUCGUGUCAUAACUCAAGUCUUCCCCUUGCUUGCCCUACGUGCGUAAACAUCUUUGAGUCUCAUUUCAGAUUACCAUUUAUUUUUUGGCAGGAAACUAUUUUCAUGCCACAGGCCUGUUACACAUGACCUGCUAGUAUUUCUCACUGCAGCACCACCCAAAGAGGAUUUCCCAACAACCCACUACAUGCCAGGCACCAGAUAAAUAGGCAAACUCUUUCGAACAAAGACACAUCAUCCUUGCCUCCAUGUGGUCAUCAAUUUUUUUACAUUGCAACCUGUGAUAAUCAACAUGAAGGAAAAAUAGGGCAUUAGGAGGGACAGUAACGGGGAUCUGAUUUAUCCAGGAGAGAUGGAGUGGAGAGGAGAAGCAGGGAACACGUCUCCAAGGAAGUACCAUUGAAAUUGACUUCUGAAAGAUGAGAAGUGGUCCAAGAGAGUGAACUGAGCAUUCCCAGGAGAAGUGGCACGUGGAUAAGCCUUGAAGUAGGCAAGACUUUGUCAAGUUCAAGGACCUGAAGGCUGGGACACACAGUGAGAGAAAAGGCUAAAAAGAUAGUUGGGAGCCAGACUACAUGAGGCCGUGUAAAGAAUUCUGCUAAGUGCAGCCAUUGAAAGGCAGGAGGCCAGGGAGUGACAUGAUGGGAGGCAGGCAAGACAAGAAGCAGAAAGACUAACUAGAAGGGCUUGGCAAUUGUCCAGGUGGGAAGAGAUAGCGGCUUGGAACAGGGCAAUGGCAGAGGAGAAUGGUGGACAAAUCUGAGAGUCGUUUUGGAGAAGUGACAUGACUUUGUGAUAACUGGACAUGAAAGUGACAGAGAGGGGGGUUCCAAGGACAUUUCUGGGUUUCUAGCUUGAGCAACUUAGUGAAUAAAGUCUAAUAAAUAACAACCUAUCAAUAUAACUCUUAAGGCUACACCAAGCAAUAGGAGAACCACAUCUCUCUCCAGCCCCGUGUUUGCAACGAGGCGCUGCUCUCACCGGAUUUUGUGGGGACAGAUGCAUUGAUCAGUGCCGGGGGAACAGAAAUUUCCCACCUACAUGCGCAUCAAAGCUUCCUUACAUAAGCAGAAGAACGUCUCUGAGCUACGAAAAUCAGAUUUUCACAUAAACUUUAAAUUUUUACCCUCAGUUCUACAGACAUGGCCAUAGAUGCCAGGCAGCUGAACUAUGAGAACCUAAAAGAAAACCAAUUGUCCCUUUGAAAACGUUCAAAACCCAGGCAUGUUUCCUUAUUCAUUCAAUAGAUUUCUCCCGAGUGUUUUUAGUGUGGGGGGAAUGGGGUGAGUAAGAUGUGCCCCCUGUGUUGGCAAAGCGUAUAUUCUAUAGAGAGAAAGAGACAUAAAAGCUAUGCCUAACACAGCGUGGUGUGUUACACAGAUCCAGCAGUAGAGGUGUACUUAACAGAUGACAGGGUUAUUAACUCUGCAGAGGGAGUGGCCCAAGGGCACGGCAACGAAAGACUUCAGAGAGGUUGCAUUUGGGACCAGUCUUGAAAGACAAACAAGAGUUUGUGAAGCAGAGAAGAGGAUGGGGAGAAACUCCAAGAGGAGGAAACAGCACGAGCCCAGGUGUGAGGGUGCUAAGGAGGGCCGGCUGCUCGGGGCCAGAGCCCUCAGGGAGAGGCCGUGGGGGUCUGAUUCCAGACCGGAAGAGCCAUCCUUCCAUUCCAAAGGCUGAAAACCAGUCCAGUCUGAUGUAUCCACUAUUGCCUGACCCAGGUGGAGAAUUCUAAUUCGUGUAGGCCCAACCCAACAAAGACUUCUUAAUGUGACUACUGCCUGAAGACUGCCCGUGUCCAUGACAGCUUUGGGUUUACCCAUUGAGAUGGGCAGUCCUCUCUCCCACAGUCAGUCCCACAACUUGGCCAAGGCUACAGGACCCAGCUUUCUAAAGUGCCUAGAAAGACGUAGCAGUGGCCCAAGGUGACGCUCCUGUGGCUGGAGAAUGUGGACACUGGAAUGACUGUGACAUUCAGUCCGGCAAGUGGUACAGCUGCCCUUGUACAGCAAACCGUCAGACACAGUGAGUGACCACCAUCCCCAGAAAAAGUGUGUGUGCAUGUGCGAUCUUUAAAUUUUAACAGCUAUUCCGACAGUCCUCAGAGAGAGAAUUGGCAGCUUGGGCCUGGAGAAUGCUCCCCACCUGUCUCCAGGCCCCGCAAACACAGCUGUGUAAGAAGACAGUCAAAGCUUCCAAGGAAAGAAAUGGUGCUGUUUGCAGGGGCGGAGGACGGGGGAGAAACUAGGGGAGGGCCCUUCUUGCAAACCGCUGAGGCAGGGCCCGUCCAGCAACUGCGAAAAUUAGCAAGGAGGACGUGGUCAGGCUUUCUGUUUUUAACUUCACGUUAAGUAAAAUCAUUCAAGACCCAGCUCAACGACCACAUUAACACCAGUCUUAAACGGAUGAGACAGAGCACAUGGUUCAGGCCAAGGGGAGCACAGGGCCACCUGCGUUUCUAGAGGCACCCAUCCGGGUUUUCCCCUGCGUCCGUAUGAACCGUCACAGGACGCACGGUCCCUCACACAGAACUUCCUGGGAAAGUGCCCAGAAACCCCUUUAUCUGUGUUUCUCCAGGCAUUUUUAAAGUUCAGCUCUUUGGGGAAGUCGGCAGACGCAGAUUUCCACGACGCCGAUUCCAUGGCAGGCUUCCAGAGCGGCCAGGGGUUUGCUGCCCCCCCAGGAAGGGAGAUGCGAAGACGGAAAGAAUCAGCUCAUUGCCGAGGAGGAAAACCGAAGCAGGGGGGUAUUUUCAGUAUCAUUUUAAUCACAAAAUAGCACGAACGUAGUCUGUGCCUGCGUGCCACCCGAGUGUCGAUUUGAAUACCACUGCACGCUGGUUUGAAAAUUUCCAUUUUUGUAAUUUGCUUUCCUUUGUUAAGCCAAGACUGGAGAGAAACCUGGCAGCCGUCUCCAAGUCUGGCACGAUUUCGCCUCAGACGCACUCGGUUGGUUGGAUGCUGAAGGAGCCUGCCUGAGAGAAGGGGAGAGAGCGAAGGGGCGAGAAGGAUGGGGAGAGAGGGAGAGGAGAGAGAAGGCACCGCUUUUGGCCGGGUGGAGGCCCACAGCCCCUCAGCCAGGGGGUUUGGCUCCAUCUACAGGAAUCACAAGGCAAACAGACCAGAUCCCUCUGCUCAGAAACCAGCUGGGGUUGGGGGCCUCUGGCAACGCCUCUGACAAUGGCCUGGAGAAUAUCCAGCCGGUGGGAACGGGUGGUAAGGAGUUGAAAGGUAGGGCUCUCCAUCUCCGGACCGGGAGAGGCAUGUCAGAUUCUGCAUGGGGAUUCGUGUCUGAGGAGAAAGGCAUCGUGCCUCCUCCUGUAACCCAUGGAUUGCUCUAACUGGUGAAGUGGAAGCCAUCUUUGAGGGCACAGGCAGUGUGUGGUCCCAGCAUGGGCCCAGCACACACUGUGCGCUCUGCUGUUGAAUGAAUGAAGGAACAACAGGUGAACCUAGCCCGCUGGACCAUCUAUCAAUCAACAGAGACCUAACUGAUAAACAUAAACCCUAUUUGCUUUCCAGCUGUACUUGUCAGGCACUUUGUUAAUGGCUAGUAACAGCUGAGCAAGCCCGCAGCACCUAGGCUAGUCCAGCGCCCCACCCCCAGCGAGGGUAGCAUGACCUAAGAGCCACCCAUUUCAUCUGAUGCCCUCAUUGUGCAGAUGAGUAAACACAGGAUCAGAGAGGUUUCUCCCCCCAGGUCAACCAGCUUGUUGGUGACAGAACUGGUUUGGGGCCCACUUUUCCUCAGCUUCUCUCUGAUGUUUGUUUUCUAAGGCCUCACUGUGACGGGCCUCACGGAUCCGCUCAGCUGAUUGGCUCUCUGCGGAGGAAGCCAGCUUCCCCACCUCCCUGUUGUCCUGUCCCAGCUUCUGCUCUGGGCCAAGGCAGAUGCUCAGGCUGCUUUGCUCCAAAAAUCAAAUGCUGCCUGGAGCUGAUGCCAACUGAUGGCUG